GGAUGCGAUCAUACCAGCACUAAAGCACCGGAUCCCAUCAGAACUCCGAAGUUAAGCGUGCUUGGGCGAGAGUAGUACUAGGAUGGGUGACCUCCUGGGAAGUCCUCGUGUUGCACUCC
rnacentral:rRNA from 1 species